UGGGGAAUUUUGCACAAUGGGGGAAACCCUGAUGCAGCGACGCCGCGUGAUUUAGAAGGCCUUCGGGUUGUAAAAAUCUUUUCUAUGGGAAGAAAAUGACAGUACCAUAGGAAUAAGAACCGGCUAAUUACGUGCCAGCAGCCGCGGUAAUACGUAAGGUCCGAGCGUUGUCCGGAAUCAUUGGGCGUAAAGGGUAGGUAGGCGGGUAAGCAAGUUAGAAGUGAAAUCCUAUAGCUCAACUAUAGUAAGCUUUUAAAACUGCUCAUCUUGAGGUAUGGAAGGGAAAGUGGAAUUCCUAGUGUAGCGGUGAAAUGCGCAGAUAUUAGGAGGAAUACCGGUGGCGAAGGCGACUUUCUGGCCAUAACCUGACGCUGAGGUACGAAAGCGUGGGUAGCAAACAGG
rnacentral:rRNA from 1 species